rnacentral:tRNA from 1 species
GGAGAGGACGAAAGAUCGAUAAGGUUUUUGUUCUUGUACUGCUGGUGUUGUUUAUUUCAAGAUAUGAUUCCGUAAUGAUACGGAAGAGAGAAAGUAAGAAGCCGGGUCUAAUUAAACAGACUAGGUUGAACUUAGUCCUAUAGCUCAGUUGGUUAGAGCGCUACACUGAUAAUGUAGAGGUCGGCAGUUCAACUCUGCCUGGGACUACGAACGGAAUCAAGUUCGGGGGAUUAGCUCAGCUGGCUAGAGCAUCUGCCUUGCACGCAGAGGGUCAACGGUUCGAAUCCGUUAUUCUCCACUCCAUCGGAAACGUAAGAAACGAAGAUGAACGAUCUAUGACAUAUUGUACAAGCAAACAGUAAUUUUAGUAGUAAAGAGCUGAAAGUAUAUAUCAUCCCGCCGGCACGCAAGUGUGAGCGAAUGGAUA